rnacentral:rRNA from 1 species
UACAGAGGUCUCAAGCGUUGUUCGGAUUCAUUGGGCGUAAAGGGUGCGUAGGCGGCGCUGUAAGUCGGGUGUGAAAUUUCGGAGCUUAACUCCGGAACUGCAUUCGAUACUGCGGUGCUUGAGGACUGGAGAGGAGAGUGGAAUUCAUGGUGUAGCAGUGAAAUGCGUAGAGAUCAUGAGGAAGACCAGUGGCGAAGGCGGGUCUCUGGACAGUUCCUGACACUGAGGCACGAAGGCCAGGGGAGCAAACGGG